rnacentral:tRNA from 1 species
GGCAAGAUGACCGAGCGGUACAAGGCGCUGCGUUCAGGUCGCGGUACAAUUCUGUGAGUUUGAGUUCGAAUCUAACUCUUGCCA